rnacentral:rRNA from 1 species
AACGAACGCUGGCGGCAGGCCUAACACAUGCAAGUCGAACGGGAAGCCAUCCUUCGGGGUGGUGGAGAGUGGCGCACGGGUGAGUAACGCGUGGGAACCUACCUUUUGGUACGGAACAACCAAUGGAAACGUUGGCUAAUACCGUAUACGUCCUUUUGGGUGAGAGCCUUUAAGGAGAAAGAUUUAUCGCCGAGAGAUGGGCCCGCGUCCGAUUAGUUAGUUGGUGGGGUAACGGCCUACCAAGGCUGCGAUCGGUAGCUGGUCUGAGAGGAUGAUCAGCCACGCUGGGACUGAGACACGGCCCAGACUCCUACGGGAGGCAGCAGUGGGGAAUAUUGGACAAUGGGCGCAAGCCUGAUCCAGCCAUGCCGCGUGAGUGAAGAAGGCCCUAGGGUUGUAAAGCUCUUUCACCCGCGAAGAUGAUGACGGUAGCGGGAGAAGAGCCCGGCUAACUCCGUGCCAGCAGCAGCCGCGGU